rnacentral:rRNA from 1 species
AGCGAACGCUGGCGGCGUGCUUAACACAUGCAAGUCGAACGUGAAAUGUAGCAAUACAGAGUAAAGUGGCGUACGGGUGAGUAACACGUGGGUAAUCUACCAAAGUGUCUGGAAUAACCGAUCGAAAGGUUGGCUAAUACUGGAUAGUUCAAGCUUGUUAUAAUGGCAAGAUUGGGAAAGGGAGCUGGCAACAGCCUUCGCAUUUUGAUGAGCUCGCGUCUGAUUAGCUAGUUGGUAAGGUAAUGGCUUACCAAGGCUGAGAUCAGUAGCUGGUCUGAGAGGAUGAUCAGCCACACUGGAACUGAAACACGGUCCAGACUCCUACGGGAGGCAGCAGUGGGGAAUCUUGCGCAAUGGACGAAAGUCUGACGCAGCCACGCCGCGUGAGUGAAGAAGGCC